rnacentral:rRNA from 1 species
GAUGAACGCUGGCGGCGUGCCUAAUACAUGCAAGUCGAGCGAACAGACGAGGAGCUUGCUCCUCUGACGUUAGCGGCGGACGGGUGAGUAACACGUGGAUAACCUACCUAUUAGACUGGGAUAACUUCGGGAAACCGGAGCUAAUACCGGAUAAUAUCUUGAACCGCAUGGUUCAAUAGUGAAAGUCGGUUUUGUUGUCCCUUAUAGAUGGAUCCGCGCCGCAUUAGCUAGUUGGUAAGGUAACGGCUUACCAAGGCGGCGAUGGGUAGCCGACCUGAGUGAGAGGGCGGCCACACUGGAAGUGAGACACGGACCACACUCCUACGGAAGGCAGCAGUAGGGAAUCUACCGCGAUGGGCGAGAGCCUGACGGAGCAACGCCGGGUGAGUGAUGAAGGUCUUCGGAUCGGUAGACUCUGUUUUUAGUGAGGAACGAAUGUGUAAGUAACUAGGCACGUCUUGACGUUACCUAGUCAGAAAGCCACGGCUAACUACGUG